GAAAUGCGAUAAGUAAUGCGAAUUGCAGAAUCUAGCGAGUCAUCGAAUCUUUGAACGCACAUUGCGCCCGCCAGCACUCUGGCGGGCAUGCCUGUCCGAGCGUCACUGUCCACCCGUCAAGCCCGGCUUGUGCUGGGGCCCUGCGGCCGCCGCAGGCCCCCAAAUCCAGUGGCGGGACCGCCGCCGCGCCGAGCGUAGUACAGCACCUCGCCCGGUCGCGGCGGCGGCCACCGGCCGUAAAAGCCCACCACGCACUGGUUGACCUCGGAUCAGGUAGGAGUACCCGCUGAACUUAA
rnacentral:misc_RNA from 1 species